rnacentral:rRNA from 1 species
UACGUAGGGUGCGAGCGUUAAUCGGAAUUACUGGGCGUAAAGGGCGCGUAGGCGGCCUGCUAAGUCGGACGUGAAAUCCCCGAGCUCAACUCGGGAACUGCGUCCGAUACUGGCAGGCUUGAAUCCGGGAGAGGGAUGCGGAAUUCCAGGUGUAGCGGUGAAAUGCGUAGAUAUCUGGAGGAACACCGGUGGCGAAGGCGGCAACCUGGACCGGCAUUGACGCUGAGGCGCGAAAGCCAGGGGAGCAAACGGG